rfam:Gallus gallus isolate RJF #256 breed Red Jungle fowl, inbred line TCD001 chromosome 8, whole genome shotgun sequence.
CCAAAGGUUCUCUCAGAUGUUAGUUAGAACCACACAAAGAAUAAAAAAAAAAUAA